rnacentral:lncRNA from 1 species
CCCUUUGGCCCAUUGGUUGACCAAGGGUUAAUUAAUGCUUCUACACCAAGAGGUCUGGGGUUCGAGUCCCAGAUAUUGCGAUUUAUUAAUAAAUUUGCAGAUUAAAUGGCAAGUGUGCAAGAGAUCUCCAGCGAAGUACAAUUAUAGCCGUUCGCCAGGAUUCUACGCAGAGAGAGAAGUGUCGUUAGGUCGUGGAUCAUUGAAGGUGUCCGUCAAGAGCAUAGAGAAAGAAGUGUCGUCUGUCGUGGAUCUAAUAAGGGUCGGAAGGAAUUGUCCGUUGUAGAAUCGUCUAUGUAACAGUUCUCAUAAUUUGCAAUAAAUAAUAAAUCUAGACGUCAAAAAAAAAAAAAGCUUAUAAAAUUUAAUAUACGAAAUAUUUAAAAAUAUGUAAACAAUUCUAAAUAAUUUUU